rnacentral:rRNA from 1 species
GAUCCUGGCCAGGAUGAACGCUGGCGGCGUGCCUAAUACAUGCAAGUCGAACGCGCAGCGAGAGGUGCUUGCACCUUUCAAGCGAGUGGCGAACGGGUGAGUAACACGUGGAUAACCUGCCUCAAGGCUGGGGAUAACAUUUGGAAACAGAUGCUAAUACCGAAUAAAACUUAGUUAUCGCAUGAUAUCAAGUUAAAAGGCGCUACGGCGUCACCUAGAGAUGGAUCCGCGGUG